GACGAACGCUGGCGGCGUGCUUAACACAUGCAAGUCGAACGGAAAGGCCCUGCUUUUGUGGGGUGCUCGAGUGGCGAACGGGUGAGUAACACGUGAGUAACCUGCCCUUGACUUUGGGAUAACUUCAGGAAACUGGGGCUAAUACCGGAUAGGAGCUCCUGCUGCAUGGUGGGGGUUGGAAAGUUUCGGCGGUUGGGGAUGGACUCGCGGCUUAUCAGCUUGUUGGUGGGGUAGUGGCUUACCAAGGCUUUGACGGGUAGCCGGCCUGAGAGGGUGACCGGCCACAUUGGGACUGAGAUACGGCCCAGACUCCUACGGGAGGCAGCAGUGGGGGAUAUUGCACAAUGGGCGGAAGCCUUAUGCAGCAACGCCGCGUGCGGGAUGACGGCCUUCGGGUUGUAAACCGCUUUCGCCUGUGACGAAGCGUGAGUGACGGUAAUGGGUAAAGAAGCACCGGCUAACUACGUG
rnacentral:rRNA from 1 species